rnacentral:rRNA from 1 species
GACGUAGGGCGCGAGCGUUGUCCGGAUUUAUUGGGCGUAAAGAGCUCGUAGGCGGCUUGUUGCGUCGACCGUGAAAACCCGGGGCUCAACUUCGGGCUUGCGGUCGAUACGGGCGGGCUAGAGUUCGGUAGGGGAGACUGGAAUUCCUGGUGUAGCGGUGAAAUGCGCAGAUAUCAGGAAGAACACCCGUGGCGAAGGCGGCUCUCUGGAACGCAACUGACGCUGAGACGCGAAAGCGUGGGGAGCAAACAGG